rnacentral:lncRNA from 1 species
UAAGAAAAAAAACAGAACAGAGAUGAAAAGCAGAAAAUCUGGUGUCUAUAGGAUACCUGUAAAAAUCGUACAAACAGGACAAAACAUAGCAUAUGUAGGAGUUACCAACAGAACCCUUGGAGGAAGAUUAAAAGAGCACAGAAGGGAUAUGGAAAAAGGCAAUAUAAAUACAGCGCUCGCUGGGAAGCAUACCGUAAUGACAUUAAGAUACAUUGGGACGAAGCCAAGGUGGUCAAACUAGUAUUACGGAGAUCUCAAACCAUGAUGACAGAGGUGUUAGAAAUCAUCAAGAAUAAGAAAAAGGCAAAGAUAUUCAACGAGAGUAUCACAGUUAACAUACCACCCGCCUGGGAAUACCUCCUGCAAAAAACCUAAAAUUAGUGCUUUAGCACACUAUCCGUAGAGAAGCCAUUGCUGACGCACCAGUAUUGCUCUAAAUCUUGACAUGC